rnacentral:rRNA from 1 species
UCGGAAUUACUGGGCGUAAAGCGUGCGCAGGCGGUUUUGUAAGACAGUGGUGAAAUCCCCGGGCUCAACCUGGGAACUGCCAUUGUGACUGCAAGGCUAGAGUGCGGCAGAGGGGGGUGGAAUUCCGCGUGUAGCAGUGAAAUGCGUAGAUAUGCGGAGGAACACCGAUGGCGAAGGCAAUCCCCUGGGCCUGCACUGACGCUCAUGCACGAAAGCGCGGGGAGCAAACAGGAUUAGAUACCCUGGUAGUCAAGGGCG